UCUGGUACUGGUUCAUGGGUAUUGAGUUACAGAUUUGACUGCCGUUCUAGGGCACUUUCAUGGGUAGAAGGUUGUGAAAACACGGGUUACGGGUUGCCUGGAACGCAACGUUAUAUUCAAACGUAUUUUAUAUUUUUGUCUUG